rnacentral:rRNA from 1 species
GACCUACCUUGUAGUACGGAACAGUCCCGGGAAACUGGGUUUGAUACCGUAUACGCUCUACGGAGGAAAGAUUUAUCGCUAUAAGAUGGGCCCGCGUUAGAUUAGCUUGUUGGUGGGGUAAUGGCCUACCAAGGCUACGAUCUAUAGCUGGUUUGAGAGGAUGAUCAGCCACACUGGGACUGAGACACGGCCCAGACUCCUACGGGAGGCAGCAGUGGGGAAUAUUGGACAAUGGGGGAAACCCUGAUCCAGCAAUACCGCGUGAGUGAUGAAGGCCCUAGGGUUGUAAAACUCUUUCAGCAGGAAAGAUAAUGACGGUACCUGCAGAAGAAGCACCGGCUAACUCCGUGCCAGCAGCCGCGGUAAUACGGAGGGUGCAAGCGUUGUUCGGAAUUACUGGGCGUAAAGAGCAUGUAGGCGGUUUGGUAAGUUGGAAGUGAAAUCCCGGGGCUCAACCUCGGAACUGCUUUCAAAACUACCUCACUAGAGUAUGGUAGGGGACAGUGGAAUUCUUAGUGUAGGGGUGAAAUCCGUAGAUAUUAAGAGGAACACCAGAAGCGAAGGCGACUAUCUGGGCCACUACUGACGCUGAGAUGCGAAAGCGUGGGGAGCGAAAGGGAUUAGAUACCCCAGUAGUC